UCUAUGGUUGCCUGAAUUUUC
rnacentral:siRNA from 1 species